GGCCUUAUAUUCAAAAUGAUAUUAAAUUGCAAAUUUAAAGGUGAAGACAUUCUAAGGCUU
rnacentral:tRNA from 1 species